rnacentral:rRNA from 1 species
UACAGAGGGUGCAAGCGUUGUUCGGAAUUAUUGGGCGUAAAGGGCGCGUAGGCGGCGCGACAAGUCACCUGUGAAAUCUCCGAGCUUAACUCGGAGCCUGCAGGCGAAACUGUCGUGCUGGAGUAUGGGAGAGGUGCGUGGAAUUCCCGGUGUAGCGGUGAAAUGCGUAGAUAUCUGGAGGAACACCGGUGGCGAAGGCGGCAUCCUGGACCGGCAUUGACGCUGAGGCGCGAAAGCCAGGGGAGCAAACGGG